GGCAGGCCGCAGACCGAGUGUUCCAGCAGAGCUGCUCCCCUGGGUCCCGGCAGCUCCGGCCUCUGAGAUCUUGGCCGCCAGUAUAGCUCGGAGAAGAGUCUUUCUGAGUCCUCAGUGAUGAGCAGGAAAAGCUUUCUUCUUGUGCCUUUCAUCAUGGAGAACAAAUCGGCCAGAACACCUGGUGGUGGGAAACAUCAGACAAAAGCAUGUAGAAACUGUCAAACACGGUAAAUGCAAGGAAUUCACACAGGAACUUAAAAUCUAUGACAACUUUGCUCAAGCUAUGAGUGCUAUGAGUUCUGGUUCUGACUUCAAACUUUGAGAUUAACAAGGAUUAAGGCAUUGAGCAAUAGCUCUUUUUGAUUGGUUAAUUUCUUCAGGGACUGCCUAUUGGUUAUAUUUGCAUUUUCUUCUGAAAUCUCUAAAUUAGUUCAUGUUCCUUCAGUAGCACAGAACAGGCCUCAGUCAACACUGAUACUCUCAGGCAAAUGUGGAACACAUGGAAAAUUCUCAUAGGCUAUGGUAUAGAAGCCCACCUCAGAGAUGGGUGGCUUGCCACACUGUACCUGCAGCUGAAGGUUCAAAGAAACCAUUUGCUCAGUUCUGGGAUGUUUCCCAAAAGUGGAAGGUCUGCCAAGAAUCCACUCUUCACAAAGCCAAGCUAUUAGACUGGUUAAGUUCCUGGUGUCUUCCCAUGUGCCCAUCAAUGGACAGCAACCUACUGUUUGCUGGGACCAUUGGGUUUGGAUCAUGACUCCAUUAUUGGCCUUGUGGCCUGCAGGAGUUAAGCAAUUUAAAAAUGGAAUUGACAGCAGCUGUUUGUGGUGAAUUUUUUUUUUUUUUGAGAGAAGCCCUCCCAGGCCUCAAUCCUUUUGCCUCAUCCUCCUCCCUAGUGCUGGGAUUACAGGUGUGAGCCACUAUGUCUGCCUAUAACACAAUGUAUUUUCAAAGUUGAGGAAAAGCUAGGCCUGGUGGUACACACCUUUAAUUCUAGCACUUGGGAGGCAGAGGCAGGAGGAUCUCUGUGAGGUCAAGGCCAGCCUAGUCUACAUAGUGAGUUCCAGGCUAGCUGGGGCUGCAAGGAGACCAUCUCAAAAAGACAAAAAAAAUUAAAAGUUGAGGAAAAAAACAAACCAUACAUUAGUACAUAUAGACCAACUCAGAACAAUGCCAAAAUACAUAUCACAUUUAAAAGAUGUUAAGAUAUUUAGUGCCUUGGCCUGAAAUCAGUUGAUAUGAAUAUACAGUCCUCUACUGCUGGUUAGUAGGCCUAGUACACACAUCAAGAAUGAGCUGUUAGCAGGUAGAUAGGUGACUUAUGACAGUCUUAAGUGCUUAGGCAUACAUUAAACAGUUAUAGCUCCACAUUUCCAUUGAUUGGGAAGACAAGGCAAUUCCUCCUGCAUAUACUUUAUUCACACAUGCUAAGUCUUACUAAAAGUAUCAUACAGUCAGAGAAGAUGAUUGAGGGGCAGUUAGGUUUGUAAGGGUAAUCCUUGCUUCUGGCUUUGUUUUGAACCAAGGUAAAUAAACAGCCAGGAGCAAUACUGGAAUAAAAGGGUGACACGGGGACAAAGUGCAGUGUGGGAGGCAGCUCACAGUGAGGCAGGCAGGCAAGCAGGCAUGUUCUAGCCAAUCAACACUUUAUUUUUCCAGUUAACACCUACACAGAUGUUACUCUCUACUUACUGACCCUAGAAGAGAUCCCCACCAAGGCCCAGAGUAGUUUCCUUCUGCCUCUCUAGAUAGUAAGGAAGUCCCUCACUUCAAGACAGAGUGCAUGCUCACCAACCCCUGUGCUAGCAAAAGUGCUGUGGGACCCUGCUGUCCUGCAUCAUGAGGGCAAAAUUGGGCAAGGGUGCAGUGUAGGUUAGAGGCUACAGUGACCUAAGUACAGAACUUCUGGCCUGACCAGGUUUAUUCUUUAUUUUUCAGACCAGAAGCUACCCUAAAACCUGGCCAGAACCUGUAGGAAGAGAAGCUGGCAAAGGACAGGGAUUAGACUGCUAAGGACAGGACAUAGCAGGUAGAUAAAGCCAAGGGGAAUGUAGGACAGGAGAAUAAAAUUAUAAAGUGCCUGAACUAAACAACCAAGUGGGACAUGAGGACAGAGCAGCAUAGGUCCCUGA